rnacentral:rRNA from 1 species
UACGUAGGGUGCAAGCGUUGUCCGGAAUUAUUGGGCGUAAAGAGCUCGUAGGCGGUCUGUCGCGUCGGAUGUGAAAAUCCGAGGCUCAACCUCGGACCUGCAUUCGAUACGGGCAGACUAGAGUUCGGUAGGGGAGUCUGGAAUUCCUGGUGUAGCGGUGAAAUGCGUAGAUAUCUGGAGGAACACCGGUGGCGAAGGCGGCAUCCUGGACCAACACUGACACUGAGGAGCGAAAGCCAGGGGAGCAAACGGG